UAACAUUUAACAUAACACUAAUCUCAAAAAAAUCUUUAAAUAUUAGAAAGCUGUUAAGCUCAUGGUGAUGAACACAAGAUUUUUAGAAUUUUAAUUUUUGCUUGAAAUCUCAGAUUUUAACAUUGGCAAAAAUAUUGCCAGUUGUUUUCCUUAAAGUGGCAGCUUCCCUUUGUUCGUUUUGGGGAAAAUGUUUGCCAAAUACCCAAAUUUGAAUAUCCAUGGUUUUUGUCUGUCAGUCAUUUCUUCGAGUAAAAAUGGUGUUCCAAAAAUAACGUUCUAACUCAAAACAACUGCGUAACUUCUCUUUUUCAAAACAAUGUACUUUGGCUGCAGAAGUCCUUCAUGAAGCAGACUUCCUGUAUCAUCCCACAAAAUAUUAAAAAAUUGUACCAACUGCACAGUGGUGAAGAAUAAACACAAUGACAAGUCAGACAAUUUGGUGCCACUGCGUUGAUUUGCGUUAAGGCAUGAGCAGCUUUGCCCUCCAUUGCUUUUGUGCCAUCAGUGCAAAUGCCAAUGCAGCUAAAGAGAUAAAGAAACAGACUCCAAGUAAAUAAGUAACUUGCUCAACAUCCACAGUGAUUAACUGACAGAGCUACAGCUCAAACGCAGGUGUCCUGAUUCUUGGACUAAAGGACUUUCUGCCAACCCUGAGAGAACAUUCUGGCUGGAAUAGAAGGAAAUGAGACGAGCAGAGAGAGGCCUGGUAGGCUCUGAAGAGAAGCAGUCUCAGGCACUGAGGCAGAAGAGGGCCUCCGCUAGUGAGCACAGACCAACAGGACAGGAUUCCAGCCAAUGUUUAGCAUCUAUGUGGCCACAAGAAAAGCUUUAAAUAUCUCAACCUUCAGCUCUGCCUCUGGUAAGAGUCAGGAAUAAGAAUGAUGAUCUUGUCUGAACAAUCUGAAACCGAUUCCAGCCUCUACAGAAGGUUUUUGUGGUUUUGCACCCCAGAAGAAUCAGAGACCGAAAGUAGAACAGACUGAAAGAAAAACGUCUAAGGACCAAGUCUUACAGAGCCCUGACUCAACAAAACGGAUGCGGUCUACCCGGCUGACCUGGAGAGCAGUCCCAGACCAGCACAGAAUUUGGAACAAAUGCUUCCCGCGACACGAGGCUGCUUCUUUUCCAAACUGGCCUUGAAAAAAAUACACAGAAAAAUGACCACCAAGAACCUUGACUAAAGAACCAGCAGUCUGUGCAGAGUUUGAAUUCACCAUUAGCGCCCAGGGUAACCUCAGUCCACAGAAUGUAAGAAGACAAGUGAGGCAAUGUUUGUGGAGCCCAGCGGCUGAACCCGCUCUACCAUGGAAGAAAUGCCCCAAUUGUCCUUCCUAAG
rnacentral:lncRNA from 1 species